rnacentral:pre_miRNA from 1 species
AAAAUUUGAGACCAUUGGACUUUGCAAUGACUGUCAUAGUUAUCCAGGCUUUGUGACAGUCAUUGCAAAAUCCAAUGGUCUCAAAUUUUAUA